rnacentral:rRNA from 1 species
UACAGAGGGCGCAAGCGUUGUUCGGAAUUAUUGGGCGUAAAGCGCAGGUAGGUGGCUUGUUAAGUCGCGUGUGAAAGCUCCAGGCUCAACCUGGAAAGUGCGCGCGAAACUGGCGAGCUUGAGUGCCGGAGAGGGUCGCGGAAUUCCCAGUGUAGAGGUGAAAUUCGUAGAUAUUGGGAGGAACACCAGAGGCGAAGGCGGCGACCUGGAAGGUAACUGACACUGAGCAGCGAAAGCGUGGGGAGCAAACAGG